rnacentral:rRNA from 1 species
AGGGAACGAGGGAGGCAGGCCUAACACAUGCAAGUCGAGCGGAUGAAGGGAGCUUGCUCCUGGAUUCAGCGGCGGACGGGUGAGUAAUGCCUAGGAAUCUGCCUGGUAGUGGGGGAUAACGUCCGGAAACGGGCGCUAAUACCGCAUACGUCCUGAGGGAGAAAGUGGGGGAUCUUCGGACAUCACGCUAUCAGAUGAGCCUAGGUCGGAUUAGCUAGUUGGUGGGGUAAAGGCCUACCAAGGCGACGAUCCGUAACUGGUCUGAGAGGAUGAUCAGUCACAUUGGAACUGAGACACGGUCCAGACUCCUACGGGAGGCAGCAGUGGGGAAUAUUGGGCAAUGGGCGAAAGCCUGAUCCAGCCAGGCCGCGUGUGUGAAGAAGGUCUUCGGAUUGUAAAGCACUUUUAGUUGGGAGGAAGGGCAGUAAGUUAAUACCUUGCUGUUUUGACGUUACCAACAGAAUAAGCACCGGCUAACUACGUG